rnacentral:misc_RNA from 1 species
GAGAAAACAACACAUUAAAAUUCGAAUAGUAUCUGACCAGACUUUCAGUUACUCGUCAUUCACCACAACACUGAUCUCAUUUUUCUCAAGCAGAUCAUAGAAUUCCUUAGUUCUCCUCUGGUUGUUCCAAUGGUGCUUCUUCCACAAACCUCCAGCAACCAUUCCAAGAGCAAUCCCUAUCAUAAUCUCCUUCACUACACUUGGACCCUUGUAUGCAGCAUGUGCAAUAUGGGAACCUGCCAUUUUCCCCUUCUUAGCAAGCAGAUCGGUGUAAGACGGUUACGCAAAGUAACAGGGAUACGAGAAAAAAGGUUUUUG